rnacentral:lncRNA from 1 species
GCGCGUGUUUCAAUAUGCUUUAUUCAAUUUCAGUUAGAUAAUUAAACGAUGCGACAUUUUCAAGCAUUUUACUAUUUUAGUUUGUUUAAGGAUUUAAUAGAUAUUUUGUAUAAAGUUAGUUACGGUUUUCUUUAACAUGUUUACGUACUUAAAGUUCUUUUAUUUUGGGGUCAUUGUUCAUAUCACUGCAGAGUUACUCCCCUUAUUGAAGUAG